rnacentral:rRNA from 1 species
UACGUAGGGUCCGAGCGUUGUCCGGAAUUACUGGGCGUAAAGAGCUCGUAGGUGGUUUGUCGCGUUGUUCGUGAAAACUCACAGCUUAACUGUGGGCGUGCGGGCGAUACGGGCAGACUGGAGUACUGCAGGGGAGACUGGAAUUCCUGGUGUAGCGGUGGAAUGCGCAGAGUAUCAGGAGGAACACCGGUGGCGAAGGCGGGGUCUCUGGGCAGUAACUGACGCUGAGGAGCGAAAGCCGUGGGGAGCGAACAGG